rnacentral:rRNA from 1 species
GGAUACGCUGGCGGCUAGCCUACACAUGCAAGUCGAACGGCAGCACAGGAGAGCUUGCUCUCUGGGUGGCGAGUGGCGGACGGGUGAGGAAUACAUCGGAAUCUACUCUGUCGUGGGGGUAUAACGUAGGGAAACUUACGCUAAUACCGCAUACGACCUACGUGGUGAAAGCAGGGGACCUUCGGGCCUUGCGCGAUUGAAUGAGCCGAUGUCGGAUUAGCUAGUUGGCGGGGUAAAGGCCCACCAAGGCGACGAUCCGUAGCUGGUCUGAGAGGAUGAUCAGCCACACUGGAACUGAGACACGGUCCAGACUCCUACGGGAGGCAGCAGUGGGGAAUAUUGGACAAUGGGCGCAAGCCUGAUCCAGCCAUACCGCGUGGGUGAAGAAGGCCUUCGGGUUGUAAAGCCCUUUUGUUGGGAAAGAAAUCCAGCUGGCUAAUACCCGGUUGGGAUGACGGUACCCAAAGAAUAAGCACCGGCUAACUUCGUGCCAGCAGCCGCGGUAAUACGAAGGGUGCAAGCGUUACUCGGAAUUACUGGGCGUAAAGCGUGCGUAGGUGGUCGUUUAAGUCCGUUGUGAAAGCCCUGGGCUCAACCUGGGAACUGCAGUGGAUACUGGGCGACUAGAAUGUGGUAGAGGGUAGCGGAAUUCCUGGUGUAGCAGUGAAAUGCGUAGAGAUCAGGAGGAACAUCCUUGGCGAAGGCAGCUACCUGGACCAACAUUGACACUGAGGCACGAAAGCGUGGGGGAGCAAACAGGAUUAGAUACCCUGGUUGUCCACGCCCUAAAC